CUGAACAAACUCUAAGAGAGUCUAUACCCUCU
rnacentral:piRNA from 1 species